rnacentral:rRNA from 1 species
GAUGAACGCUAGCGGGAGGCCUAACACAUGCAAGCCGAGCGGUAUUGUUUCUUCGGAAAUGAGAGAGCGGCGUACGGGUGCGUAACACGUGUGCAACCUGCCUUUAUCUGGGGGAUAGCCUUUCGAAAGGAAGAUUAAUACUCCAUAAUAUAUUGAACGUCAUCGUUUAAUAUUGAAAGCUCCGGCGGAUAGAGAUGGGCACGCUCAAGAUUAGCUAGUUGGUUAGGUAACGGCUCACCAAGGCGACGAUCUUUAGGGGGCCUGAGAGGGUGAUCCCCCACACUGGUACUGAGACACGGACCACACUGCUACGGGAGGCAGCAGUGAGGAAUAUUGGGCAAUGGGUGCAAGCCUGAACAAGCCACGCCGCGUGAAGGACGACUGCCCUAUGGGUUGUAAACUUCUUUUGUAUAGGGAAAAACCUACCCUCGAGAGGGUAGCUGAAGGUACUAUACGAAUAAGCACCGGCUAACUACGUG